rnacentral:lncRNA from 1 species
ACCAAUAUAGAACUAAAUCUCAAAUCUCAACUGUAAUAUGCAUUAAACAAUUACCAACUACCAGUACAUAGAAACCGAAUUCUCUGUUAUUAGCAAAAUAAGUUUAACGCCAUUUCUAGAGUUGUUAUGCGUUGGCAUUCCUUUCACAAAGAAUCUCUACUCCUAAUUACAAGAUUCACCUCGAAAUGACUUUACUAACAAAUUGAUUUCUAACAUUUUUAACCUUCAUGAAUCAGAACCAAUCAACAGAACCUUCAUAUUCCAAAUAAGAAUGAACUUGGGAGAUACAGCUAUAACACUAAGACAACAAACGAACAUGAACCUUUAUCUGUCAACAUUGAAAGCAUUAGCAAACUGAUUUUGAGUCCUAAAGAAAUUAUGAAACAGCCGUUAAUUUCUAACAAAUGGGACCCAAGAAUAUUUGAUUGGAAUCAGCAUGGAUCAUUUGCAUUCAACAGAGAAACAUAUUUUAGUUACCAACAACUAGUGAGCUAGACACACACACUCCAUUGAGAGCAUCGCACAGAUUUAAACUGGAGAAAGAUUAACUCAAACACUACUGCCGAAAUAGCAGAACUAAUUUUCUCUUUCGGACAGUGAUAACCAGCAACAAAAUAACAGCGAUAAAUCACAAAUCGCGAAGCGUUUGGAGUUAGAGUGGAGAGGGUGGAGAUUUGUCUCUUCGGCACAAUAGUCAUAAACGCAGGCCUCAACAGUUCAUACUUAGCUAGGCGAUUGUGAUUUCAACUGAAAUUUUAGCUAUUCACUCCAGAAUCAGACGGAUUUAGUCGACAAUCCAAAUUAACAUAUAAUUCAACCGUCCAAAUUAUCACAUAAACAAAAUUGAUGACAACGGCAAUUAACCAACAAUCCAACUAGAAGAAUAGAAGGAAUCAAACAUAUUCGCAGAUUCGAUAAUCCGACUAUUCAUUCAUAUUCAAAGGAAAAUUUCGAGACAAUGUGUACAUACCUAGGCAGCCGAAAUUAACUGAAGGAAAGCAACAACAAACUUCUGAUAAUAUGAGAGGAGAUCUGGCAACAUAACAGCAACAGACCAGCGAUCAACACGAGUUCAACUCGACGAUAGCAGACAACGGUUCAAUCCGCCAGAUUUCUCAGCUAGCGCCAUGAAUCGGAAGCUCUAAGCCCAAAUUUCACUUGACAUUCCAGAAAAUCUAAGUAAAAACAAAGUAGAAGUGCGGAUAACUUUCAAAUCCCCCUUUGUUUCUAUUUUGGUUUGUAUUUGAAACUCUCCUUUGAAUUUUUCAAAGCUGGGCUUGAAUUUUGGACAUGAAUCGAUGGCACUUGUCUAGAGGAAAAAUGAAGAACUGAAGAAUCCGUUGCUGUGUGUGUUCUCAGAGAAGGGAAGCUUGGGUGUGGAAAAUCUCCUCCUUCUUGUUGUUCUGUUCUCUAUAUUUUGUAUGUGAAAGGAGCGAAGAAGAAGGAUUGAAAAUUAGGGAAUGAGACACGCAUUUUUCGUGG